rnacentral:rRNA from 1 species
ACCUGGUGGCGAGUGGCGAACGGGUGAGUAAUAUAUCGGAACGUACCUUAUUGUGGGGGAUAACGCAGCGAAAGCUGUGCUAAUACCGCAUAAUCCCUUAGGGGGAAAGCGGGGGACCGUAAGGCCUCGCGCAAUUAGAGCGGCCGAUACCUGAUUAGCUAGUUGGUGGGGUAAAGGCCUACCAAGGCGACGAUCAGUAGCUGGUCUGAGAGGAUGAGCAGCCACACUGGGACUGAGACACGGCCCAGACUCCUACGGGAGGCAGCAGUGGGGAAUUUUCCGCAAUGGGCGAAAGCCUGACGGAGCAACGCCGCGUGAGGGAGGAAGGUCUUUGGAUUGUAAACCUCUUUUCUCGAGGAAGAAGUUCUGACGGUACUUGAGGAAUCAGCCUCGGCUAACUCCGUGCCAGCAGCCGCGGUAAUACGGGGGAGGCAAGCGUUAUCCGGAAUUAUUGGGCGUAAAGCGUCCGCAGGUGGUCAGCCAAGUCUGCCGUCAAAUCAGGUUGCUUAACGACCUAAAGGCGGUGGAAACUGGCAGACUAGAGAGCAGUAGGGGUAGCAGGAAUUCCCAGUGUAGCGGUGAAAUGCGUAGAGAUUGGGAAGAACAUCGGUGGCGAAAGCGUGCUACUGGGCUGUAUCUGACACUCAGGGACGAAAGCUAGGGGAGCGAAAGGGAUUAGAUACCCCUGUAGUCCUAGCCGUAAACGAUGGAUACUANGCGUGGCUUGUAUCGACCCGAGCCGUGCCGAAGCUAACGCGUUAAGUAUCCCGCCUGGGGAGUACGCACGCAAGUGUGAAACUCAANGGAAUUGACGGGGGCCCGCACAAGCGGUGGAGUAUGUGGUUUAAUUCGAUGCA